rnacentral:pre_miRNA from 1 species
ACCUUCCCCGGUCAGGGCUCGGCAGGGCGGGAGUCGAGCCCGGCACGUGGAAGAGCC